GGGGAAUUAGCUUAGUGGUAGAGCGCUUGCCUAGCAAGUGCAAGGCCCUGGGUUCGGUCCCCAGCUCCG
rnacentral:tRNA from 1 species